CUGCAUUAGUUGACAUUUGUUUGACUAUUUUCUAAGGUUGUGAACUUCAUAAUGUAUAUAGAUUACUCAUUGUUUGUGGACAUGAUCAGCAUCAAGGCAAGUGGGUGGCUUUGCUUGAUAGAAAAGGAAGCAGCCAUGUGCAAGCCAAUGGAAAGACCAUCAGCAAAUAUUCUUUUUGCUUUCUCAAUUCAGGCGAUGAAGUUGUCUUAAGUCAAGCAGAAAAUAAUUCUUACAUUGUUCAGUUACUAUUGGUGUCGCCUUCAGAUGUUGGGACCAGUGCCGGAAAAGGAAAACUGUUGAAUAUCGAAAACCAGGUAGAAGAUGUUUUGGUAUUGCUCGUGCUUUUGAUUUGUCGGUAUUUUCAAACCCAUGUCGAGAUCUAUUUUCUUUGAAACCGACAUCUCAGGUUAGUGGUAAUAAACACCCAAGAAAUGAGCUGCAUGCCUCCUUCCCUCUUGAUGCGUACAGAUGGUGGAUUACAGAAUCAAUGCCUGCUUCAACUUCAGAGAUGUCUUCAAAAUCUGCUGCAGUUAUGGGAAAACUUUAUGCUGCAAUCAUUGACGGACAAAAUAUAGAAGUAUCAUUCGAUGACUUUCCAUAUUACUUAAGGUAGUCAACUAGGCAACUAGAUCAC